ACGGGAGGCAGCAGUGGGGAAUAUUGCACAAUGGGCGAAAGCCUGAUGCAGGGACGCCGCGUGAGCGAAGAAGUAUUUCGGUAUGUAAAGCUCUAUCAGCAGGGAAGAUAAUGACGGUACCUGACUAAGAAGCACCGGCUAAAUACGUGCCAGCAGCCGCGGUAAUACGUAUGGUGCAAGCGUUAUCCGGAUUUACUGGGUGUAAAGGGAGCGUAGGCGGUUUUACAAGUCUGAUGUGAAAGCCCGGGGUUCAACUCCGGUAUUGCAUUGGAAACUGUAGAACUAGAGUGUCGGAGGGGUAAGUGGAAUUCCUAGUGUAGCGGUGAAAUGCGUAGAUAUUAGGAGGAACACCAGUGGCGAAGGCGGCUUACUGGACGAUUACUGACGCUGAGGCUCGAAAGCGUGGGGAGCAAACAGGAUUAGAUACCCUGGUA
rnacentral:rRNA from 1 species